rnacentral:rRNA from 1 species
UAGGGAAUCUUCCACAAUGGACGAAAGUCUGAUGGAGCAACGCCGCGUGAGUGAAGAAGGUUUUCGGAUCGUAAAGCUCUGUUGUUGGUGAAGAAGGAUAGAGGCAGUAACUGGUCUUUAUUUGACGGUAAUCAACCAGAAAGUCACGGCUAACUACGUGCCAGCAGCCGCGGUAAUACGUAGGUGGCAAGCGUUGUCCGGAUUUAUUGGGCGUAAAGCGAGCGCAGGCGGAAUGAUAAGUCUGAUGUGAAAGCCCACGGCUCAACCGUGGAACUGCAUCGGAAACUGUCAUUCUUGAGUGCAGAAGAGGAGAGUGGAACUCCAUGUGUAGCGGUGGAAUGCGUAGAUAUAUGGAAGAACACCAGUGGCGAAGGCGGCUCUCUGGUCUGCAACUGACGCUGAGGCUCGAAAGCAUGGGUAGCGAACAGGAUUAGAUACCCUGGUAGUCCAUGCCGUAAACGAUGAGCGCUAGGUGUUGGGGACUUUCCGGUCCUCAGUGCCGCAGC